CAGUCGCCGCGGUAAUACAGAGGGUGCGAGCGUUAAUCGGAUUUACUGGGCGUAAAGCGUGCGUAGGCGGCUUCUUAAGUCGGAUGUGAAAUCCCUGAGCUUAACUUAGGAAUUGCAUUCGAUACUGGGAAGCUAGAGUAUGGGAGAGGAUGGUAGAAUUCCAGGUGUAGCGGUGAAAUGCGUAGAGAUCUGGAGGAAUACCGAUGGCGAAGGCAGCCAUCUGGCCUAAUACUGACGCUGAGGUACGAAAGCAUGGGGAGCAAACAGGAUUAGAUACCCCAGUAGUCCAUGUCUCUUAUAA
rnacentral:rRNA from 1 species